CGGCAGCGGUCCCUAUCGAUAUGCAUUCGGAGGCGACGGCACGGGCCUGGGCAUCAAUCUGAAUGAACCCGAGCAAUUCUUAAUACUCCUCGAAUCACUGGGCAUCGAACUCAUAUGCACGUCAGCGGGCAGCCCCUAUUACAACCCGCACAUGAUGCGGCCUGCCGCCUUUCCGCCUUCGGACGGCUACCAACCCCCCGAAGAUCCGCUCGUCGGCUGCGCCCGCCAGAUCAAUACGACGGCGCGCCUGAAGGCCAAUCAUCCCAAAUUGCUGUUCGUUGGCAGCGGUUACACUUAUCUGCAAGAAUGGCUGCCGCACGUCGGUCAGCGCAUGGUUCGCGACGGACAUGUCGAUUGCGUAGGUCUCGGACGGAUGGUGCUCGCCUAUCCGGACCUUCCCGCCGAUGUAUUGGCGGGAAAGCAGCUGGAGCGCAAACGUUUCUGCCGCACUUUUAGCGAUUGCACGACGGCCCCGCGUAACGGCAUUGUCUCGGGCUGCUAUCCACUCGACCCGUUCUACAAGGCAAUGCCGGAACGCAUCGAAUUGGAAGCGAUCAAGAAGAAGUAGAACAAGUUGGCAACUUGUUGUACUUGCGCGGUGCGUAGCGCCACAUCAGCGCUCCAAGAAUCAGCGAUCCUCCAAUCCACGUUGCGGUCGUUGGCGUGUCUGUCUCCGGCGAAAUCAAAUAGGUCCACAGGGGAUUGAGCAGCGGUUCGAGCAGGACGAUCAUGCCUGCUUCCUGGGGGCUCACAUGCUUCAGUCCGCGAGCAAACAGCGCAUAGGGCAGCGCCAUUUGUACGGCUCCGAAGAACGCCAGAAACACCAUCUGCCGUGCGCUGGGUGUACAGGCCCAGUCCCACCAGAAAGCUGGCCCGUGGAUUAUCAGGAUGGCCAAGCCUAGACACAGAGCGGUGCCGAGGUGAUUCUGGGUGGUGAGCCACAUCGACGAAUGCCCCUUCAAUUCUCGCAGGCACAGGAUCACGCCUCCGUACAUCAUGCUGCUGCCGAUCGCCAUCGCGGUAAUCGCGACUUGAUCGCCGCCUAACCCCUGCCCCGCGAUGCCGUGUCCGACAAUGACGCCGACGCCCGCCAUGCCGAUAAUAAGCGAUUGCAAUGUGCGCCGAUCGUGCGGUUCGCCCAGUAUGUAGACGCACACAAGAUACACCCACAAAGGCGCCGUGUUUUGCAGCAGGAUCGCAUUCGCUGCCGGGCCGAGCACCAUGGCCGAGACGAACAGCGCAUUCAUGGCGGCGAAGAAGGCGACCAUCAGCAACAUGACCGGGCGGAAAGUGAGGUCGCGCGGCCGCAACAGAGGCAGGAACACGAGGCCCGCGAAAAAAGCUCGAUAAAAGGCGAUCUGAAGGGACGACAGGACCGGCGUAUGUAAGCCGAG
rnacentral:misc_RNA from 1 species